rnacentral:rRNA from 1 species
AAUAGAUACCCCGGUAGUCCACGCCGUAAACGGUGGGUACUAGGUGUGGGUUUCCUUCCUUGGGAUCCGUGCCGUAGCUAACGCAUUAAGUACCCCGCCUGGGGAGUACGGCCGCAAGGCUAAAACUCAAAGAAAUUGACGGGGGGCCCGCACAAGCGGCGGAGCAUGUGGAUUAAUUCGAUGCAACGCGAAGAACCUUACCUGGGUUUGACAUGCACAGGACGCCAGUAGAGAUAUUGGUUCCCUUGUGGCCUGUGUGCAGGUGGUGCAUGGCUGUCGUCAGCUCGUGUCGUGAGAUGUUGGGUUAAGUCCCGCAACGAGCGCAACCCUUAUCUUAUGUUGCCAGCGCGUAAUGGCGGGGACUCGUGAGAGACUGCCGGGGUCAACUCGGAGGAAGGUGGGGAUGACGUCAAGUCAUCAUGCCCCUUAUGUCCAGGGCUUCACACAUGCUACAAUGGCCGGUACAAAGGGCUGCGAUGCCGUGAGGUGGAGCGAAUCCUUUCAAAGCCGGUCUCAGUUCGGAUCGGGGU